AUUGAACGCUGGCGGCAUGCCUUACACAUGCAAGUCGAACGGUAACAGGUCUUCGGAUGCUGACGAGUGGCGAACGGGUGUGUAAUACAUCGGAACGUGCCCGAUCGUGGGGGAUAACGAGGCGAAAGCUUUGCUAAUACCGCAUACGAUCUACGGAUGAGAGCGGGGGAUCUUCGGACCUCGCGCGGACGGAGCGGCCGAUGGCAGAUUAGGUAGUUGGUGGGAUACAAGCUUACCAAGCCGACGAUCUGUAGCUGGUCUGAGAGGAUGAUCAGCCACACUGGGACUGAGACACGGCCCAGACUCCUACGGGAGGCAGCAGUGGGGAAUUUUGGACAAUGGGCGAAAGCCUGAUCCAGCCAUGCCGCGUGCAGGAUGAAGGCCUUCGGGUUGUAAACUGCUUUUGUACGGAACGAAAAGCCUCUUUCUAAUAAAGAGGGGUCAUGACGGUACCGUAAGAAUAAGCACCGGCUAACUACGUG
rnacentral:rRNA from 1 species